rnacentral:rRNA from 1 species
AGUGAAGCGGCAACAGCUCAAAUUUGAAAGCUGGCCUUCGGGUCCGCAUUGUAAUUUGUAGAGGAUGCUUUGGGGCAGCCGCCUGUCUAAGUUCCUUGGAACAGGACGUCAUAGAGGGUGAGAAUCCCGUAUGUGACAGGACAUGGCACCCUAUGUAAAGCUCCUUCGACGAGUCGAGUUGUUUGGGAAUGCAGCUCUAAAUGGGAGGUAAAUUUCUUCUAAAGCUAAAUACCGGCGAGAGACCGAUAGCGCACAAGUAGAGUGAUCGAAAGAUGAAAAGCACUUUGGAAAGAGAGUUAAAAAGCACGUGAAAUUGUUGAAAGGGAAGCGCUUGCAAUCAGACUUGUUUUGACUGUUCGGCCGGUCUUCUGACCGGUUUACUCAGUCUGGACAGGCCAGCAUCAGUUUUGGCGGCCGGAUAAAGGCUCAGGGAAUGUGGCUCUCACUUCGGUGGGAGUGUUAUAGCCCUGGGUGUAAUACGGCCAGCCGGGACUGAGGUCCGCGCUUCGGCUAGGAUGCUGGCGUAAUGGUUGUAAGCGACCCGUCUUGAA